rnacentral:lncRNA from 1 species
UUCGGAGGCCUUUGCUUUAGGUAGAGAAGCGGAGCGAGAGUCGCGAUGAUGAUCAGGUGGAUGCUUCCCCAUGAGAUGGGCGUUUGCAGACUUAUCUUUGCCGUUGAUCGCUCUCAAAGUGGACGGCGAUGAUCGCUCCAGUUGCUUAUCAAGCGUCUCGUUGAUACGCUUCCGAUCCACCGACCCCACCUCUCCCUUAGAGCCACCGGCCGCUCUCUCUCCUCUGUACAUCUUCCCUUUUUAUCUAUCCCUCCUUUAUUUGUCGAUGAUAAUAAUCGCUUCCGUUCUCGCGAAAUGACGCAAAUGGCCCUAGGCCCAAAAAUCUAGGAUUCUCUCUAUUUUCUUCUUUAUUAUUUCAGAGAGAUGGAGCUGAAGUGCUAAAAUGUUUAAGCUAAACCCAAUUUUAUUAAUUUUUAAAAAAAAAUCGCCAAAGAGAGAAAGAGAAAUGGUGCAGAGGGGUUUUUAGAGAGAGAAAGGCUAAAAUCGGGAUAAACUUUAUAGGUCCGGCGACAUGGCCGAUAAAUCGGCGGUGUAGCUUAGCUUAGGCUUAGCUUUGAGUUUAAAGGGCUUUUCUAAUAUUCUUUCAAGUAUCUGGC